rnacentral:misc_RNA from 1 species
GAUGAAGAACGUAGCGAAAUGCGAUAAGUAAUGUGAAUUGCAGAAUUCAGUGAAUCAUCGAAUCUUUGAACGCACAUUGCACCCGCCAGUAUUCUGGCGGGCAUGCCUGUUCGAGCGUCAUUUCAACCAUCAAGCCCCCGGGCUUGUGUUGGGGACCUGCGGCUGCCGCAGGCCCUGAAAAGCAGUGGCGGGCUCGCUGUCACACCGAGCGUAGUAGAUUUUAUCUCGCUCUGGGCGUGCUGCGGGUUCCGGCCGUUAAACCACCCUUUUAACCCAAGGUUGACCUCGGAUCAGGUAGGAAGACCCGCUGAACUUAAGCAUAUCAAUAAGCGGAGGA